UUCAUAGCAGGAGGCGGCAUAAAAGAAAAGACUUGUACAGUAGCCCAGAUUUAUCGGACUGUGUGAGAGAAAAAGUGGGGAGAUUUCCCCAUAUGCAGCCAAUCACAGCUCGGCUUUCACUUUACCUCAGCUUGUUAGCUGGUUGCUGUGGGAAAAUCCCUCCACUUUUUCUCUCGCAGGUAAGGAAAAAAAGUAUUUAGGAGACAACAAUUGCCACAGGAGCUGCCAAUACCACAUGAAUAACUACAGGGGACAAAGAACAGGUGUGUGAUGAAUCCAGAGCUGGGAGAAGAGGAAUCUGUGAGUAACAGGAGCAGUCUAAUAGGUGAUGAUGACAUCCUGUAGUGCACAGUAAGUCAGCUGACCCAGGACUGACUUCCUAUCGACACAUAAAACUUUUAGGACUCUGCAGAGCAACUGGGCCAAAAUAUUUUCUAGUCUGCACGUUGAAGACUGUGAUUUACAGAUUGUCUGGAGACAAGAAUAAGUAUCACAUCACGGAGUCUACAGUCCAUCUAGACUGGGGUUAUGAGAAUUGCAGCGACAGUGAUUCAGCCACUUCCAUCUCACUUUGUUCAGGAUAGACAAUGCCACAAGUUCAAGUUUCAUAAAGUAUUAUGUUCCUUUGACCUAACAUAAUGUUGUUUUGUUCCUCAAACCCUUCAAAGUCUGUGUUUAAAUCCAAUUAUGUUACUUCUUCUAUACUUUGUGUGGACGACAUGAUUACUCUUUCCCAUGACAAAAAGUUCAGAGAAAGCAGAGAAAUCAGAGGAAUGAUACUUAAAGCUUAUUUUAGGCAAGUGUGAUGUAACUAAAACCAGGUUUUCUUUAAAAUUAUAUACUAGGAGGAUUAGCAACUACAAAGCACAGAAGAGCUUUAACUAGUAUGUGUUCAGUAGGGAAAAUUAACUACUACUGUCUUUCUAUCUGAAAAGAUAUUCUAUGUGCAUUUAAAAAGUAGACACAAUUUAUUGGAUUGCCCUAAA